GAGAGCAGUUACCAUGUCAUUAAUUCCGUACAAGACAGCAGAGGUAACACACUGCAUUUCAUAACACACUGAGAUGGCAACCUGUUGAAUUCCUCCUCCCCUCAGAAAAGCUGUUCGGCCAUGGAAAUUGUGGACUUGCGGCUGUGGAAUACAUUCCUAUUUGUUCUUUGUUACUUUGAAUGCAGAGCUGAGGACUCUGUUGAUCAGCUAGCAGGAUUCCUCACUGCUUCUGAGGGAGAUUCAGUAACUCUGCCCUGUACUUACACCAGCUCCAGCACAGGACUACUGUAUCUGUUCUGGUACCAGCAGAAACCUAAUGGAUUCCCUGCAUACAUGCUGACACGGUUCUCAGAAAUGGGCGAUAAUGAUGAAGGUUUUAAGAAGAGAUUUGAGGCCAAUCUCACCUCAAACUCAGUUCCUUUGACCAUCCAGAAUCUGCAAGUGUCUGACUCUGCUGUGUACUACUGUGCUCUGAGGCCCACAAUCACAGGGAACUCACAGAACACAAUCAAAUAA